CCUACGGGAGGCAGCAGUGGGGAAUUUUGGACAAUGGGGGCAACCCUGAUCCAGCCAUGCCGCGUGAGUGAAGAAGGCCUUCGGGUUGUAAAGCUCUUUCGGCCGGGAAAAAAUCGCAUGAGUUAAUACCUUGUGUGGAUGAUGGUACCGGAAUAAGAAGCACCGGCUAACUACGUGCCAGCAGCCGCGGUAAUACGUAGGGUGCGAGCGUUAAUCGGAAUUACUGGGCGUAAAGCGUGCGCAGGCGGUUUGUUGAGAUAGGCGUGAAAUCCCCGGGCUCAACCUGGGAACUGCGCUUAUGACUGGCAAGCUAGAGUACGGCAGAGGGGGGUGGAAUUCCACGUGUAGCAGUGAAAUGCGUAGAGAUGUGGAGGAACACCAAUGGCGAAGGCAGCCCCCUGGGUCGAUACUGACGCUCAUGCACGAAAGCGUGGGGAGCAAACAGGAUUAGAUACCCUGGUAGUCCACGCCCUAAACGAUGUCAACUAGGUGUUGGGUAGGUAAAACCUAUUAGUACCGGAGCUAACGCGUGAAGUUGACCGCGUGGGNGGACGGCGCGAGUAAACGUACUAAUUAGAGUAGUUAGCGUGNGAGNGCGACGGACGACGACGAGGGAGGAGG
rnacentral:rRNA from 1 species